rnacentral:lncRNA from 10 species
AUCCUUUCGCGGUCCGCCGAGGCCUCGGAGCAGCGCGACCCGGGUUCCCGCCUCAGGCCCCAGGAGGCGAGGUGUACAGUCCGGUAAAGGAAUGGAGCGCCCGCCGAGCGGUCGCUGCGGGGGUAGCCUCGCGGAGGUUGUUUGGCCUCUCACGGCCCCCGUAUCCAACGGAAGAGGAGUCCGUUGGAAUAGACGACCCGGAUUUCGGCUGUUGUAGGGCAGUUCCUGGGCUCCCGCGGAGCGAUGAGACGUUGUGAAUUAGAUGUGAGAAGAGGGACGCUUGGUCUGCGACCACCAAGACCCCACAGGAUCGAUGCACCCACCCCUGCUGAUGACCAUGACCAUCUAAAGGGGAACAUCAUUUGAGGGGCCCUACUCAUGGAUCAGAAGCCCCUCUUCACUGUGGGGUGUGCUGGGUUGGCGGGCAGUUGCCGUGGAAUCAGUUUCCUCAGGACCCAUAUCUGACCACCCUCAUAAGGUUGUCAGGGCGAUUCCAACAUUCGGGGUUCCCAGCAGCCCAGAUCCCCCACAUCCAGCUCUUCAGCCUACUCAGAGCUCUCCACGCUCACUCACAUGUCCCUCUCGCAAGUAGCCCGAUCAACUCACCUGGUGUCAUGGGCACUAAGGUGUUAAUGGAUUUUCUCUGGUCACCUUUGCAGCUCCACUGUUUUGAGUGAGUUAUUUUAAGGGGAGAAGGUGCUCCUCAGACGGUUGUCACAGUGAUAUUUUUCCUUUGUGACUGCCAGGUUAGCCCCUUUCACCUGUAAGAGCUUUGAGCCUAGAUUUGUUAUUCAUUUAUUCAAGUUUUACUGAGUGGUGUCAUGCCAGGCACUUGUUUAGGUAUAAGGAUAAGGCAGUAAACAAAAUAUAGACUCUAGGGACGUGGAACUUACAUUCCAGUGGGGGUAAAGAGAUGAUACAUAAGUAAAUGUAGAUCAGAUGGUGACCGAUGUUAUGAAGAAAUGUAGACUGGGGUAAGAAUAGAGUGGCAGAGGAGGUGCUAUUUUACACACGAAGAUCAGGGACAGGUCUACCCUUAAUAUUUGCAAGAACUGAGUCAGUAGUACAAAUGGAGGCCCACAUAUCAUGUCUACAUAUUUUAAAACUACAAAUUAAACGGUGAUGUAAAAUUCCUAUCCUUUUAUCUUGACAUGUAUACCUUCAUCAUAAUCUGGAAGGCCACAUUUAAGUUUAGGAUUCUUGGACCCUUCUGAGAUACGCCCUCGAAUGUAGUGCUUUGGAGGGGGAACAUGUCCUUGGCCCUCAGCCUUCCUUCUU